rnacentral:hammerhead_ribozyme from 1 species
AAGCGAAACAGCAAGGCCUUGCGCCUUGUCUGUCUGCCCGGUGUGGUUGCCGGGCACUGAUGAGCAGCCGAGA